rnacentral:rRNA from 1 species
UACGUAGGGCGCAAGCGUUAUCCGGAAUUAUUGGGCGUAAAGAGCUCGUAGGCGGUUUGUCGCGUCUGCUGUGAAAGACGGGGCUCAACUCCGGUUCUGCAGUGGGUACGGGCAGACUAGAGUGCAGUAGGGGAGACUGGAAUUCCUGGUGUAGCGGUGAAAUGCGCAGAUAUCAGGAGGAACACCGAUGGCGAAGGCAGGUCUCUGGGCAUUAACUGACGCUGAGGAGCGAAAGCAUGGGGAGCGAACAGG